GGCCGUUCCUAGACCUCCUAAAUAAGGCAUUUUUCCCUAGAGUAGGCUCCCGGGCAGCAUGUCAGGGCAGUGGCUGAGUCUGCUUGCCGGGGGUCAGGAAGGCUGUUCUUCCAGGAAGGGCUGCAGAGACCCUGGGAACAGGACUAGGCUGCUCACAAGUAUGAAGAGAAUGUCGGGAGAGGAAGUGGUGGCUGUGAGUCAGCAUGAGUCAUCUCGUUCCAAUGAGAAUGAAGACUGAGGUGUGCGCCUUUUUUUUCUCUCUCUCACCUCAGCUUCUCCCUGGUGAGUAUGUUUCUGUCACUUUCUUGCUCAUUUCUGCAGUUUGUCUCAAGAAUCUCAGCUCCAGGAGCUUGGCUGAGGGGUCUUGGAGUGGAUGCUGUGUUUUGUUCAGAUUUUGAAGACCUCUGACUUUAGA
rnacentral:lncRNA from 1 species